rnacentral:snoRNA from 1 species
AACGCUGUGAUGAGGUUGCUUGUUGGGCAGUGGCAGCUUUGCUGCCGUGAGCCUUAUAAAAAACGACUUCUUCUUCCACUGAGCGUU